CCCUUAGGGGGACCGUUCUAGAACCGAUAACCCCCGUUAAACCUCACCCUCCCUUGUUAAUACCGCCUAUAUACCGCCGUCGUCAGCCUACCCUGUGAAGGCCCAGAAGUGAGCAAGAUUGGUAAGACCCAAAACGUCAGGUCGAGGUGUAGUGAAUGAGAGGGGAAGAAAUGGGCUACAUUUCCUAAUCCAGGAAAUACGAAUAAUGAACUGAAAUAAGCAUUAGAAGGUGGAUUUAGCAGUAAGCAGAAAAACAGAGUGUUUCGCUGAAGAUUCGGCAAUAAAGCACGCACACAUCGCCCGUCACUCUCCCCGAGCUAUCCUUAACGAUCAAUACCUAAAAAGUCAUAUCUGCAAAGGGGAGGCAAGUCGUAACAUGGUAAGCGUACCGGAAGGUGCGCUUGGAAUAAU
rnacentral:rRNA from 1 species